rnacentral:rRNA from 1 species
UGUAAGCGUAUACCAAAGUUGUUGCAGUUAAAACGCUCGUAGUCGGAAUUUGGCAGUUCCGGAUGUGUGCACGUCGUGUGCGCACUUCGCGGGGAUUGCUUUUGUGGUCUUGCGUAGGAUGAGGCACUUUUAUUAGUGAACGUCCUCACGCAACCACUUUUUACUGUGAGAAAAUCAGAGUGCUCAAAAGCAGGCAUUUGCCGUGAAUGUAUUAGCAUGGAAUAAUAGAAUAGGACUUGGUUCUAUUUUGUUGGUUUGUUGGGACUGAGUAAUGAUUAAGAGGGACAGUUGGGGGCAUUUGUAUUUCGGUGCUAGAGGUGAAAUUCUUAGAUUACCGAAAGACAAACUGCUGCGAAAGCGUCUGCCAAGGAUGUUUUCAUUGA